AUGUCCAAAACUAACAAAUCAAAAUCUGGAUCCCGUUCUUCCCGUUCGAGGUCUGGAUCAAGAUCACGCUCACGUUCCUUCUCCAAAUCUCGCUCCCGUUCUCGUUCUGUCUCACGGUCGAGAAAACGCAGACUUAGAGGUUCUAAUAAAUGUACAGUUGGAGAGAGAAGGACAUGACAAAACUAAAUUAGAGGCGGAGACUUGAGUCAAACCAAGUUCUUUGCAGAAGGAAGCUGGAAGAUACAUGGUCAUUUGGGAGUAUCUGCCUAGUGAUGAAGGAACUUUGACAGUUGAAAACAAAGGCAUCCUGUGCAAACAUGAUCGUUUCCUCUGUGCUGCUGCUGAAUCUACUUGCGCUUUGUAAAUAACUCCUUUUUUUAAAAAUAGAAUCAAAAUGGAGGGGGUUAGUACAGACAAGUCAUCUUGCAUGGCGUUAGGAUGUUCUCUGAGGUAGGUCUCGUUGUAUCUUGGCAUAAAAGUCCAUUGUUGUGUACUUCAGCAUACACCACAAAAAUUGUUGUACUCUUCAUUUGGUAGGUUUACUGUUCUAAGUUGUUUUGCCAUGUUGGAGUCUGCCUAAUAUUUCUUGCUUUCUUUAUGACUUUAUUUUUCAUUUUUACUUAUUGUGAAAUGGUGGGUGCUUUAGAACUGGAGCAGUGUGUAUUAGCUGGCUAGCUACAGGGGCUGGCAGAGUUGGGAAAACUACUACUUGCAGUGUUUCUUUUGCGUAACAUUUUCUGUAUUUUUCUAAAAAGAUUUCUAGUAAAUAAUCUCUGCAACUUUUGGAGUGAAAUCUCCCUGCUGCAAGCAUCUAUAAAAUGAUAGAACAGGUUUUGGAAGCAGCGUACAACAGGUCCCUUGCUGGUAAUUGAUCACAAAUGCAGCAGUUGUCUGAAAAUGGGAGUGUAUGUAUUCUUAGUACUUUUGACUAGGGCUCAUUAUAAUUGGUUCUUGCUGUCUGCCUCUUGUGCUUUCGUCUCAGAUAACUUGCUUAGGUUUUUUGGUUAUUUGAAGUAAAGGAUGAAGCAUAUGUUAAAAUUAUCAUUGAGCUGUUUGCUAGCAAUGACUAUACAUUACAUUUUAGCGUGAAACUGUAUUUGAUAGGUGGAAGAAAUAAAAACAGAACUAGAGUUUGUCUCUGACUGCAGGCAUAUAUGCUAAUCUUGUAGGAAUUCCUAACAUGG
rnacentral:lncRNA from 1 species